GCAAUCAAUAAUGGCGACCGAUGAUUGC
rnacentral:sRNA from 1 species